GCGGGCGUGGCGGAAUGGUAGACGCAACGGACUUAAAAUCCGUAGGGCCUUGGUGCCCGUGGGGGUUCAAGUCCCCCCGCCCGCACCA
rnacentral:tRNA from 1 species